UACGAAGGGGCUAGCGUUGCUCGGAAUUACUGGGCGUAAAGCGCACGUAGGCGGGUCGUUAAGUCGGGGGUGAAAUCCUGGAGCUCAACUCCAGAACUGCCUUCGAAACUGACGAUCUUGAGUUCGGGAGAGGUGAGUGGAACUGCGAGUGUAGAGGUGAAAUUCGUAGAUAUUCGGAGGAACACCAGUGGCGAAGGCGGCUCACUGGUCCAUUACUGACGCUGAGGUGCGAAAGCGUGGGGAGCAAACAGGG
rnacentral:rRNA from 1 species